AGUGAACGCUGGCGGUAGGCCUAACACAUGCAAGUCGAACGGCAGCACAGGAGAGCUUGCUCUCUGGGUGGCGAGUGGCGGACGGGUGAGGAAUACAUCGGAAUCUACUCUGUCGUGGGGGAUAACGUAGGGAAACUUACGCUAAUACCGCAUACGACCUACGGGUGAAAGCAGGGGACCUUCGGGCCUUGCGCGAUUGAAUGAGCCGAUGUCGGAUUAGCUAGUUGGGGGGGUAAAGGCCGACCAAGGCGACGAUCCGUAGCUGGUCUGAGAGGAUGAUCAGCCACACUGGAACUGAGACACGGUCCAGACGCCUACGGGAGGCAGAAGGGGGGAAUAUUGGACAAUGGGCGCAAGCCUGAUCCAGCCAUACCGCGUGGGUGAAGAAGGCCUUCGGGUUGUAAAGCCCUUUUGUGGGGAAAGAAAUCCAGCUGGCUAAUACCCGGUUGGGAUGACGGUACCCAAAGAAUAAGCACCGGCUAACUUCGUGCCAGCAGCCGCGGUAA
rnacentral:rRNA from 1 species